rnacentral:lncRNA from 1 species
CGCUCGCCGGCGGGGUCGAGGGCGACGGCGAGGAGGUCGGCGGCAGCUGCCUGGUCGAGGGACGCUGCGAUUCGGCGCUCGAGCUCGCGGCGGGAGGCGGUGGACACGGCGAGGGCGACCGCGGCGCGGAGGAGGAGGCAGAGGAAGCCGACGGGGAGCGGGGCGUCGCGGUCGGGGGGGAGGAGGGAGACGAUGGAUUCGAGGAGGGCGCGCCGGCGAGAGUGGUCGCCGGCGACGGCGGUGGCGGCGGAGCCGGCGCGGCCGGGGAGGAGGUCGGGGAGGGAGAGCUCGGAGUAGGCGGCGACGGCGGUGGCGAGGGAUUGCGGGGAGGCGCCGCGGGAGCGCAUGGCGGAGAGGACCUUCUGGAAGGAGGCGGGGCCGAGGGCGGCGAGCUCGGCCGCCCACCACUCCGGCGGCGACCGCGUCGGAAAGUUGGAUUCAUUGCAGGCCUGAAUAAAAAAGAAAAAAGGCGAGUUUUAGAAACUGCUUGUGUCUUUAGUAAGCCUCAACUUCUUGUUUUCAGCUGUAAUCAUCUUCAGCAAAAUUCUCGAUUUUGAAAUCUUCCUCGCAAUUAAUUCAGAGUUCCUUCUAACAGUAGAUCACUUGCAAUACUUUUUCAAACAGUAUUAUAUCAUCCAGCAAAACUAAACAACUACUAAUACUAUAGUACUAUGCUCUCAUCGAAUGCACGUUUAUAUAUACUAGUGAAAUACCCGCGCGAUACUGCGGAUCUAAAAUAUUUUUAUAAUAAAUUUUAUUUUUUUAAUAUUUUUAUAUAGUUUUAUAAGUCUAAUUAUUAAUUAAAUAAAAAUUAUAUANAAGAGAAAGAAAGGGGGAAAAUGCUUUUGGAGGGAUAUAUUUGUGAGGGCAAAAUGGUCAUUUCACAUUAAAACUGUUAAAAAAUAAACAGUUCUCUAACAUAUGUUAAUCAGAGGGACAUAUCUGCAUAAAUUAGGACUUUUGCAGGGACAGCUUAUGGAGUUUCCGUUUUGCAGGAAUAUUUUCGCAAUUCACUAUGUUUGCAGGGACGUGUAUGCAAAUAACCCUAUUUUUUAUACUUUCGUUCCCAUUCCUUUUGAUUCAAUAGUGUAAGAUAUUAGACGUGAUGGAAAUAUGAUUUUCUCUGAUACUAAUUAUGAGAAUCGGUAUUUACCGAUUAUAUAAUCUAAAAUUUAAAAUGGAACAAAAUAAGAUGAAGAAGAAAUAUUGAAGAAGCCCUUAAACCUCAAAUCAAUGAAAUCCCGUAUUCUUAAAAAGCCAUACCAAGCAACAAACUCUUUUAAAACUUGAACAAAUAACAAUUCCACAUAGAGAGAUAUAUUUAUAUACACACAAAUUAGCCAAACAAAUCAAAGCAGGACCAAAUAUUUUGCACUUUUGUCCCUCCAAAAUCACGAUAUCGAGAACCUCCUCCUCCGGGGCUUGGUCACGUCUACCCCUCCCGCCGCCGCGUCGUCGUGGAGCAUCGACGUGUCCUUGGCCCCGCCGUGCCUGAACGGGUUCAGCUUCCCGAGCUUGCGGGACACGGAGGCGAAGAACGUCGUCGGCUUCUUGGGCGGGCCUGGUGUUGCCGAAGACGACUUCGACGCAGCCAGCGCGGGCGCGUUGGUGCGCUCGAGCUCGGACACGUAGAGGCGCAUGCGCGCAAGCUCGGACCGGAGCGCCUCGUUCUCGCGCGUGAGGGACGCAUCGCCGUGCUGCUUCGGCACCGCUGCCGCUUGCGGCUGGGAGGCGGAGCUGCUGCGGAGCUUGAGCUGGUCGUAGUAGAGCGCGUGGAGGACGAUCUGGAGGGGCAGCCGCUUGUUCUGCGCCGCGUGCAGCCGCGCCUCGUACGACAGCCGCAGCGGGUCCAUCACACUGCACACCUUCUCCCUCUCAAUCUCGUCCAGAUCAGAGUGCGCCUGAACAUGUAUACAGUAUAGUUUAAUAUCUGAAUUAUAAUGUAUCGCUGAUGUGAUAGUAAUAUAAUAAAUCUUUAUUAUUAUUAUUAUUAUUAUUAUUAUUAUUAUUAUUAUUAUGUUAUUCAUUUAGAAGAACCUUGAGAUAGAUGUCGACGGCGCGGUAGAGAUCGUCAUCGAAGUGGCGGGAGGACUUGGGGAGGGCGCCGGCGAUGCCGGCGAACUUGGAGACGGAGAGGUCCACGUCGGUGGCGAUCUCACUGACGAAGGCGUCGACGGUGCGCGCCACCUUCUGCAUGGCGGCAGAGCAGAGGGCGGCGCCGCCGCCGUACAGCAGGCCGCCGGCGCCGGCGCCGGC